GAGUAAAGAUUUCGGUCGCUUUGGGAGGAGCUCGCUUACUAUCAGCUUGUUGGUAGGGUAAUGGCCUACCAAGGCUAUGACGGUUAGGGGGUGUGAGAGCAUGACCCCCAGCAUUGGCACUGAAACACUGGCCAAACACCUACGGGUGGCUGCAGUCGAGAAUCUUCCACAAUGGGGGAAACCCUGAUGGAGCGAUGCUGCGUGCGGGAUGAAGGCCUUCGGGUUGUAAACCGCUUUUGUAGGGGACGAAAUUUUUGACGGUACCCUUUCGAAUAAGAGGUUGCUAACUCUGUGCCAGCAGCAGCGGUAAUACAGAGACCUCAAGCGUUAUCCGGAUUUACUGGGCGUAAAGCGUCUGUAGGGGGUUUAUUAAGUUCCAAGUAAAAUUUCAAGGCUCAACUUUGAAUUCGCUUGGAAAACUAAUAAACUGGAGUCUAGCAGAGGUGCAUGGAACUUGUGGUGUAGGAGUGAAAUCCGUUGAUAUCACAAGGAACACCAAAGGCGAAGGCAUUGCACUGGGCUAGCACUGACCCUGAGAGACGAAAGCGUGGGGAGCAAAACGGAUUAGAUACCCGUGUAGUCCACGCCCUAAACGAUGAAUGCUAAAUGUUCGGGGAUUCGACCCCCUGGGUGUUACAGCUAACGCGUUAAGCAUUCCGCCUGGGAAGUACGGCCGCAAGGCUAAAACUCAAAGGAAUAGACGGGGAUCCGCACAAGCGGUGGAGCGUCUGGUUUAAUUCGACAGUAAGCGUGGUACCUCACCAGGGUUUGACAUCCCUUGACAGCCUUGGAAACAAGGUUUCCUUCGGGCAAGGUGACAGGUGCUGCAUGGUCGUCGUCAGUUCGUGCCGUGAGGUGUUCCGUUAAGUCGGGAAACGAACGAAACCCCUAUUGCAUGUUACAAUUUCUCAUGCAAGACUGCCCGGAUAUACUGGGAGGAAGGUGGGGAUGACGUCAGAUCUGCAUGGUCCUUAUACCCUGGGCGACACAGGCGCUACAAUGGCAGAGACAAAGGGUUGCAAAACCGCAAGGUGAAGCUAAUCCCAAAAACUUUGUCUAAGUUCGGAUUGAAGGCUGCAAUUCGCCUUCAUGAAGCUGGAAUCGCUAGUAAUCGUGAAUCAGCCACGUCACGGUGAAUAUGUUCCCGGAUCUUGUACUCACCGCCCGUCACACCAAGAGAGUUGGUAGCUCCC
rnacentral:rRNA from 1 species